rnacentral:rRNA from 1 species
GAUGAACGCUGGCGGCGUGCCUAAUACAUGCAAGUCGAGCGAACAGACGAGGAGCUUGCUCCUCUGACGUUAGCGGCGGACGGGUGAGUAACACGUGGAUAACCUACCUAUAAGACUGGGAUAACUUCGGGAAACCGGAGCUAAUACCGGAUAAUAUAUUGAACCGCAUGGUUCAAUAGUGAAAGACGGUUUUGCUGUCACUUAUAGAUGGAUCCGCGCCGCAUUAGCUAGUUGGUAAGGUAACGGCUUACCAAGGCAACGAUGCGUAGCCGACCUGAGAGGGUGAUCGGCCACACUGGAUCUGAGACACGGUCCAGACUCCUACGGGAGGCAGCAGUAGGGAAUCUUCCGCAAUGGGCGAAAGCCUGACGGAGCAACGCCGCGUGAGUGAUGAAGGUCUUCGGAUCGUAAAACUCUGUUGUUAGGGAAGAACAAAUGUGUAAGUAACUAUGCACGUCUUGACGGUACCUAAUCAGAAAGCCACGGCUAACUACGUG